AUCCUUAAGGGCUCAAGAAGUGUGUUGCUUGAUCAUGAAGAUGGCUUUUCCAGGUUGAGGCUCGCUCAUUGCACUCUGGGUGUGCUGACCUAUGUGAUUUCCCCAUAUGUGGGAAACUCAACUGCAUAAUUUGUAGUACCUGGGGGACUGCAUUUGUGCUUUCCCCUG